ACCAGAGUGUAACAAUUUAAGGUGCUC
rnacentral:sRNA from 1 species